UACGUAGGCAGCAAGCGUUGUUCGGAAUUACUGGGCGUAAAGCGCGCGUAGGUGGCCCCGUAAGUCCGCUGUGAAAGUCAAAGGCUCAACCUUUGAAAGCCGGUGGAUACUGUGGGGCUAGAGUACGGAAGAGGCGAGUGGAAUUCCUGGUGUAGCGGUGGAAUGCGCAGAUAUCAGGAGGAACACCAAUAGCGAAGGCAGCUCGCUGGGACGUUACUGACACUGAGGCGCGAAAGCGUGGGGAGCGAACAGG
rnacentral:rRNA from 1 species